rnacentral:rRNA from 1 species
UACGAAGGGGGCUAGCGUUGUUCGGAAUUACUGGGCGUAAAGCGUGCGCAGGCGGCUUCUCAAGUCAGGGGUGAAAGCCCAGAGCUCAACUCUGGAAUUGCCUUUAAGACUGCAUCGCUUGAAUCCGGGAGAGGUGAGUGGAAUUCCGAGUGUAGAGGUGAAAUUCGUAGAUAUUCGGAAGAACACCAGUGGCGAAGGCGGCUCACUGGACCGGCAUUGACGCUGAGGUGCGAAAGCGUGGGGAGCAAACAGG